AUUGUUCCUCCCUCCAAUAUAAUCAUAAUAGUUUCUCUCAAAGCUCAUACUUUCAAUACAUCAACAGGCAUAGAACUCGCAUUUCACAGCAAGCGAUGUAUGUAUAUACAUAGUUUUUUAACUUUUUUCUAGAGUAUCUAAAAUUUUUGAUGUAAUUUUGGUACAUGUCAAUUGUCAUAGUGUUUUAGAUGUUGAUGAGAUUAUUUGGUCACUUUUUAGCCGUUAGUUUCUUAGUGCAUCCUAUUGAACGUCUUCUUAUUAAUUUUUCUGUUGCUUUGAACAAUGCAAAUAUUUUCAUAAAAUACUAUGCUUUAACUUUUGCAAA